CACAACACAGCCUCCCUGAGCCCCUCAUUUCUCCAAGGGGCGUGGCCUUGGGCAACUUCGCUCUGGAGCUCCUCCCCACCAGGCACGGAGCCACGCCCAUUCCAGACUCCUCUCUGGGAAUGACCCAAUGUGGGCCCCACCCUCACGGUACCCAGAGUCUGGACUCCUGCUGGGGGCCUCAUGAGCCCAAGAUGUUGCUGGUGGAGCCAGAAAGAGCCUCAGCUUGUCAGCGACUGUCUGCGGGAUUCCUGAGUUCUCCAGCAUCAUCUCCCAGCAAGUUCAGAACAUUCUACAGCUUCAGCAAGAUGUGAAGACUUCCUUUGUCAUCAACUUGUAUAUGUGACUCGGACAGAAAAGAUCCUGAGGGCAGAGGUGAGGAGACCUGCUGAGCAGGGCGGAUGUUUGAGUGGAACUGAGUUUAUAAGUGGCCAGGACAGCAGCAGCAAAUGUGGUCGUGUUUUCACAGCUUUUACAUCCAAUGUGUAUAAUACUCAGCUGCUGGAGCCCGCUGUCAGAAUGAGUUGCAUCACCCCAGGACUGAUCGCAUCUAAGGAACGUCAGGGAAGAUAAAGUUCCACCUUGGCUCAGCCACUGUGGAUCUCUGUGACAGAACCUUGGUCUUAACUCACACACCUUGUCUCUUGGUGGUAAUAACACCUUGAUUUCCUGGGAGGAGCAUUCCUUCCCACUUUAUGCCCACGUGGUUCAGCCGGGGCUGAUACUGCCUCUGGGAUGCACUGAUGCUCCUGUGAUGCAGGUUUAACCAAUCAGAGUGCUCUGUUUCCCUGGCCACAGUAGCUGGCUCAAGGAUGGCC
ensembl:lncRNA